rnacentral:lncRNA from 1 species
CCACAGUGUACAAAAAUUGUCUCCGCGUCGCGGACAAGACGUGCACUCCUCUGUCUCAAAAUUUAAUUUCACGAUUAUUUAUUUAGAAAUAUCUCCGCGUCGCGAACUUGUUCCAAGACGGUGAUUUCGUAACUUUUCUCAAGUUUAGCUAUUUGAAAUCAUUCCUACACAUCAUGAGGUCUUUCCAAACACAAAUCAUGAUCCUUGAAUCCAUAAUUCAAUUCAAGGAUUAGUUAAGAGUC